rnacentral:misc_RNA from 1 species
UCCGGUUUGUCACCGGCAGUCUCGCAUGAGUCCCCAACUGAAUGCUGGCAACAUGCGACGGGGGUUGCGCUCGUUGCGGGACUUAACCCAACAUCUCACGACACGAGCUGACGACAGCCAUGCAGCACCUGGACACCUAGUUCUCUUGCGAGCACAUCCACAUCUCUGCGGACUUCUAGGGGGUUCCAACCCAGGUAAGGUUCUGCGCGUUGCGUCGAAUUGAACCACAUGCUCCACCGCUUGUGCGGGCCCCCGUCAAUUCCUUUGAGUUUCAGUCUUGCGACCGUACUCCCCAGGCGGAGUGCUUAAUGUGUUGACUUCGGCACAGCAGGGGUCGAUACCCGCUACACCGAGCACUCAUCGUUUACGGCGUGGACUAC